rnacentral:siRNA from 1 species
UCUGACAUCUCGUCUCUCUGCAGA